AGCGCACCGCCCCCGCCCCCCCCCCUCCGCUUCCGCCGCAGGCCGGCCCCGCCGGGCGCCCUGACCCCCCCGCCCGGGGCGGGGAGAGGUGGCCGCGAGGGGUGUCCGGGGGUGCACACACACACACCCGCACACCGGCGUCCCCGCGCCUCCCGGGGGUUUUUAUGAAUGAAAAGGCGGUAUGCAAAUGAGCGCGGCCCGGGGGGGAGCGCGAAAUGGCGGAUGCGCGGGCGGCCAGCGCGCACACGUACGCGCGUGUCCGUGUCCCUCUGUCCACCCGCGGUCUGUCUGCGUGUGUGUAUAUGCGUAGAGGGGGUGUGAAGGAUCCGCACCGGCUCCCGCCGAGGCAACAAAGGGUGCCCCCCCGCCCCCCGCCCCAGCCUGCCGGCCGCCCCCGGCCCCGCUCACUCGUCAGGGAACAGAAGUGGAAACUUGCAGAGAAAUCUGUGGACUGCUAGUAAUGCGAUGGAGGCAAGAGCCGAUGAAAGCUUUGAGGUCUUCUUUAUGAGGGGUUUCCCCCAGGGAGAAGCAGCAUGCCCUUUGGAGAUGCUACCAGAAUUUGCACCUUUGGUGGCAUUACAAUAUUCUAGUAACACACUUGUCAUUGCUAGACGUUCAGCUGUAACGCCAGAUAGCAUGUGAGAGCGUGUGCCCACUUCCCUCCCCUUGGCAACCUCUGGUGUGUUUAUUCGGAUGUCGACGCCUCUGCUCUCCCCAUCCCCUUCCCACCCAUUCAUUCCUCUGCAAAGCACAGUUUGACACCCCCUCGGCUGUGCUAACGCAUCCCCCCGUUGGGGAGUUACACUGCUGGAUCUGCUAAAUGGUCCCAGCUAAUAAUACCCACCCAAUACCUCUUUAUUUUUGAAAGUUAUUCAAGGAUCCAGCUUGCAGAAUGGCAUGAUAUACAUCUUGGCAAAGCUGAGCUGGCAGCUACAGGAAGCAUCAGGGCAGGAGUAAGUAGUUGGGGGCAAGGAAAUGGCAGGAACGUCUUCAGCUGCUGUACCAUAAAAGACCAGAUGUAAUGAUUUGACACACUUCCACCCACCCUACGUCUUUUUUUCCCCCCCUAAACAAUGCUGAGAUUGCACAGAUGUCUAACAUCCUUAAAAUCUUCCAUGCCAAAAAUCUCUGUGGUCAGCAGGAGCAUCGAUGCGCAUCAAGCGGGGAACGUGGCAUUUAGCAGUUGGCUACUACAGAACCAGAAUAAGGGGAGAGCUACGGCCACAUGAAAAACCCAGGGUGCAAUCAUGUAAUUAAAAGGCCAUUAUAAUGCAUAUACCGCUGUGGAGGACUGGGUAUUAAUUACUGCCUGAUUAAUGCUUGAGAACUUGACCGUGUGAUCUGGAUGUAUUUUUGUGUACUUGUGUGUAUGUGUAUUUGCCCCAAUGGCUAGAAGCAAAUGUGUAUGAGUCUUAGAAGCUGAAGUUUUACUUGAUCUAGUUUCUUGAGUCAUUUCCUGUGGAUUUGCAAGAUCUCACAUUUGAUCUCUGCUUUCACUGUCCUACUAAUUUGGAAGCUGCUAAGCUAUUUAUUCUCCAAAUGAUUUCUCUCACUGCACAGCCCUCUUACUACUGUGUAUGUGCCUUUUGUACCGAUAAAUAUUGAAUUCUGUUUUUCUAAUAUUCAGGUUACCGUGUCGGUUCUUGUGAGUAGCACUUUCAAGAUGACUGACUUUUCUGAAUGAAAAGGCUCUCAGAGCAUAAUAUUUUAGUUGUCACAGACGAUGUGGUACAUGGAUCUUGUUUCUGCUUGGACUGAAAAUGGACGUCCCCAAAGUGCUGUUACACCUUUAGCUGGCACUUUUUGGGGGUGAGAAGUGCUGGAAUUUGAAGCAGCAGAAUUUAAGAUGGCAUUUACUGUAGCCUUGCAACGUCGUCUGCUCCCUUCACCCACUCUUGCUUUUAAAACCUAUACCUUUGAGCAGAAAUCUUCCACGCUGUUGAUUUAGGAACCUAAAUAUGAAUGUUGGUACCUUGUUGACUGUGCUGGUUUCAAUGACUUUUCCACUGACUCACACGGUGACUUUGAAUGAGUGAGGAGUAGAAGUCAGCAGUCCUGAAUCACACCAUCCUCCAGACAAUCACCCCCCUCCCCGAUAAUUCUUUCGAGCAGCAAUCAUAUUUUAAAAGCAAUGAUUACAUCCGUGUUUUCCCCCAUCAUCAUCGCUCAGAAUUUAAGAGCUAUAGAAACAAUCUGCAACAUUUGCAGUCAGCUUGAAAGCUUUCAGAGUUGACACAUUUUGGGAGGUCACAGAGUUUGGAAAUACAAAGCUUUUUUCCAUCAGGAGUGGGAUUUCAGCAUGUGGUUUGGAGAAUUGUCGGGAGGAUUUCGGGCACCUGCCAGGGCAAUAGGAGGUGGGGGGCACCCCGCAGUCUUCCCAGGAUGUCCUUUUGAAGGGCGGUAAGACCAGAGCAGGAAAGCAGAAAGGGACCCUUGCUGCCAGAUGGGCUGCUUUGCUCAAGGUCUGACUAUCCCAGUGUUUUCUCCAUUUCUUGGCUUUUUUAAUCAUGUGUUAAGACAGAAAAUGGCAACAAAGCUUAUGCAAUCUCUUCACUACUGUAUGUGUGCGU